rnacentral:rRNA from 1 species
UCUUCGGAGAGUUUGAUCCUGGCUCAGGACGAACGCUGGCGGCGUGCCUAAUACAUGCAAGUCGAGCGAAUCGACGGGAGCUUGCUCCCUGAGAUUAGCGGCGGACGGGUGAGUAACACGUGGGCAACCUGCCUAUAAGACUGGGAUAACUUCGGGAAACCGGAGCUAAUACCGGAUACGUUCUUUUCUCG